GGGUUGUGAGGUUAAGCGACUAAGCGUACACGGUGGAUGCCCUGGCAGUCAGAGGCGAUGAAGGACGUGCUAAUCUGCGAUAAGCGUCGGUAAGGUGAUAUGAACCGUUAUAACCGGCGAUUUCCGAAUGGGGAAACCCAGUGUGAUUCGUCACACUAUCAUUAACUGAAUCCAUAGGUUAAUGAGGCGAACCGGGGGAACUGAAACAUCUAAGUACCCCGAGGAAAAGAAAUCAACCGAGAUUCCCCCAGUAGCGGCGAGCGAACGGGGAGCAGCCCAGAGCCUGAAUCAGUGUGUGUGUUAGUGGAAGCGUCUGGAAAGGCGCGCGAUACAGGGUGACAGCCCCGUACACAAAAAUGCACAUGCUGUGAGCUCGAUGAGUAGGGCGGGACACGUGGUAUCCUGUCUGAAUAUGGGGGGACCAUCCUCCAAGGCUAAAUACUCCUGACUGACCGAUAGUGAACCAGUACCGUGAGGGAAAGGCGAAAAGAACCCCGGCGAGGGGAGUGAAAAAGAACCUGAAACCGUGUACGUACAAGCAGUGGGAGCACGCUUAGGCGUGUGACUGCGUACCUUUUGUAUAAUGGGUCAGCGACUUAUAUUCUGUAGCAAGGUUAACCGAAUAGGGGAGCCGAAGGGAAACCGAGUCUUAACUGGGCGUUAAGUUGCAGGGUAUAGACCCGAAACCCGGUGAUCUAGCCAUGGGCAGGUUGAAGGUUGGGUAACACUAACUGGAGGACCGAACCGACUAAUGUUGAAAAAUUAGCGGAUGACUUGUGGCUGGGGGUGAAAGGCCAAUCAAACCGGGAGAUAGCUGGUUCUCCCCGAAAGCUAUUUAGGUAGCGCCUCGUGAAUUCAUCUCCGGGGGUAGAGCACUGUUUCGGCAAGGGGGUCAUCCCGACUUACCAACCCGAUGCAAACUACGAAUACCGGAGAAUGUUAUCACGGGAGACACACGGCGGGUGCUAACGUCCGUCGUGAAGAGGGAAACAACCCAGACCGCCAGCUAAGGUCCCAAAGUCAUGGUUAAGUGGGAAACGAUGUGGGAAGGCCCAGACAGCCAGGAUGUUGGCUUAGAAGCAGCCAUCAUUUAAAGAAAGCGUAAUAGCUCACUGGUCGAGUCGGCCUGCGCGGAAGAUGUAACGGGGCUAAACCAUGCACCGAAGCUGCGGCAGCGACGCUUAUGCGUUGUUGGGUAGGGGAGCGUUCUGUAAGCCUGUGAAGGUGUACUGUGAGGUAUGCUGGAGGUAUCAGAAGUGCGAAUGCUGACAUAAGUAACGAUAAAGCGGGUGAAAAGCCCGCUCGCCGGAAGACCAAGGGUUCCUGUCCAACGUUAAUCGGGGCAGGGUGAGUCGACCCCUAAGGCGAGGCCGAAAGGCGUAGUCGAUGGGAAACAGGUUAAUAUUCCUGUACUUGGUGUUACUGCGAAGGGGGGACGGAGAAGGCUAUGUUGGCCGGGCGACGGUUGUCCCGGUUUAAGCGUGUAGGCUGGUUUUCCAGGCAAAUCCGGAAAAUCAAGGCUGAGGCGUGAUAACGAGGCACUACGGUGCUGAAGCAACAAAUGCCCUGCUUCCAGGAAAAGCCUCUAAGCAUCAGGUAACAUCAAAUCGUACCCCAAACCGACACAGGUGGUCAGGUAGAGAAUACCAAGGCGCUUGAGAGAACUCGGGUGAAGGAACUAGGCAAAAUGGUGCCGUAACUUCGGGAGAAGGCACGCUGAUAUGUAGGUGAAGUCCCUCGCGGAUGGAGCUGAAAUCAGUCGAAGAUACCAGCUGGCUGCAACUGUUUAUUAAAAACACAGCACUGUGCAAACACGAAAGUGGACGUAUACGGUGUGACGCCUGCCCGGUGCCGGAAGGUUAAUUGAUGGGGUUAGCGCAAGCGAAGCUCUUGAUCGAAGCCCCGGUAAACGGCGGCCGUAACUAUAACGGUCCUAAGGUAGCGAAAUUCCUUGUCGGGUAAGUUCCGACCUGCACGAAUGGCGUAAUGAUGGCCAGGCUGUCUCCACCCGAGACUCAGUGAAAUUGAACUCGCUGUGAAGAUGCAGUGUACCCGCGGCAAGACGGAAAGACCCCGUGAACCUUUACUAUAGCUUGACACUGAACAUUGAGCCUUGAUGUGUAGGAUAGGUGGGAGGCUUUGAAGUGUGGACGCCAGUCUGCAUGGAGCCGACCUUGAAAUACCACCCUUUAAUGUUUGAUGUUCUAACGUGGACCCGUAAUCCGGGUUGCGGACAGUGUCUGGUGGGUAGUUUGACUGGGGCGGUCUCCUCCUAAAGAGUAACGGAGGAGCACGAAGGUUGGCUAAUCCUGGUCGGACAUCAGGAGGUUAGUGCAAUGGCAUAAGCCAGCUUGACUGCGAGCGUGACGGCGCGAGCAGGUGCGAAAGCAGGUCAUAGUGAUCCGGUGGUUCUGAAUGGAAGGGCCAUCGCUCAACGGAUAAAAGGUACUCCGGGGAUAACAGGCUGAUACCGCCCAAGAGUUCAUAUCGACGGCGGUGUUUGGCACCUCGAUGUCGGCUCAUCACAUCCUGGGGCUGAAGUAGGUCCCAAGGGUAUGGCUGUUCGCCAUUUAAAGUGGUACGCGAGCUGGGUUUAGAACGUCGUGAGACAGUUCGGUCCCUAUCUGCCGUGGGCGCUGGAGAAUUGAGGGGGGCUGCUCCUAGUACGAGAGGACCGGAGUGGACGCAUCACUGGUGUUCGGGUUGUCAUGCCAAUGGCACUGCCCGGUAGCUAAAUGCGGAAGAGAUAAGUGCUGAAAGCAUCUAAGCACGAAACUUGCCCCGAGAUGAGUUCUCCCUGAC
rnacentral:rRNA from 1 species